ACCAUGCAAGUCGAGCGGGGAAAGCGUAGCUUGCUACCUUACCUAGCGGCGGACGGGUGAGUAAUGCUUAGGAAUCUGCCUAUUAGUGGGGGACAACAUCUCGAAAGGGAUGCUAAUACCGCAUACGUCCUACGGGAGAAAGCAGGGGACCUUCGGGCCUUGCGCUAAUAGAUGAGCCUAAGUCGGAUUAGCUAGUUGGUGGGGUAAAGGCCUACCAAGGCGACGAUCUGUAGCGGGUCUGAGAGGAUGAUCCGCCACACUGGGACUGAGACACGGCCCAGACUCCUACGGGAGGCAGCAGUGGGGAAUAUUGGACAAUGGGGGGAACCCUGAUCCAGCCAUGCCGCGUGUGUGAAGAAGGCCUUUUGGUUGUAAAGCACUUUAAGCGAGGAGGAGGCUACCGAGAUUAAUACUCUUGGAUAGUGGACGUUACUCGCAGAAUAAGCACCGGCUAACUCUGUGCCAGCAGCCGCGGUAAUACAGAGGGUGCAAGCGUUAAUCGGAUUUACUGGGCGUAAAGCGCGCGUAGGUGGCCAAUUAAGUCAAAUGUGAAAUCCCCGAGCUUAACUUGGGAAUUGCAUUCGAUACUGGUUGGCUAGAGUAUGGGAGAGGAUGGUAGAAUUCCAGGUGUAGCGGUGAAAUGCGUAGAGAUCUGGAGGAAUACCGAUGGCGAAGGCAGCCAUCUGGCCUAAUACUGACACUGAGGUGCGAAAGCAUGGGGAGCAAACAGGAUUAGAUACCCUGGUAGUCCAUGCCGUAAACGAUGUCUACUAGCCGUUGGGGCCUUUGAGGCUUUAGUGGCGCAGCUAACGCGAUAAGUAGACCGCCUGGGGAGUACGGUCGCAAGACUAAAACUCAAAUGAAUUGACGGGGGCCCGCACAAGCGGUGGAGCAUGUGGUUUAAUUCGAUGCAACGCGAAGAACCUUACCUGGUCUUGACAUAGUAAGAACUUUCCAGAGAUGGAUUGGUGCCUUCGGGAACUUACAUACAGGUGCUGCAUGGCUGUCGUCAGCUCGUGUCGUGAGAUG
rnacentral:rRNA from 2 species